AAUGAACGCUAGCGGGAGGCCUAACACAUGCCAGCCGAGCGGUAUUGUUUCUUCGGAAAUGAGAGAGCGGCGUACGGGUGCGUAACACGUGUGCAACCUGCCUUUAUCUGGGGGAUAGCCUUUCGAAAGGAAGAUUAAUACUCCAUAAUAUAUUGAACGGCAUCGUUUAAUAUUGAAAGCUCCGGCGGAUAGAGAUGGGCACGCGCAAGAUUAGCUAGUUGGUGAGGUAACGGCUCACCAAGGCGAUGAUCUUUAGGGGGCCUGAGAGGGUGAUCCCCCACACUGGUACUGAGACACGGACCAGACUCCUACGGGAGGCAGCAGUGAGGAAUAUUGGUCAAUGGGUGCAAGCCUGAACCAGCCAUCCCGCGUGAAGGACGACUGCCCUAUGGGUUGUAAACUUCUUUUGUAUAGGGAUAAACCUACCCUCGUGAGGGUAGCUGAAGGUACUAUACGAAUAAGCACCGGCUAACUCCGUG
rnacentral:rRNA from 1 species